rnacentral:rRNA from 1 species
GUGCCAGCCGCCGCGGUAAUACGUAGGUGGCAAGCGUUGUCCGGAUUUAUUGGGCGUAAAGCGAGCGCAGGCGGUUUCUUAAGUCUGAUGUGAAAGCCCCCGGCUCAACCGGGGAGGGUCAUUGGAAACUGGGAGACUUGAGUGCAGAAGAGGAGAGUGGAAUUCCAUGUGUAGCGGUGAAAUGCGUAGAUAUAUGGAGGAACACCAGUGGCGAAGGCGGCUCUCUGGUCUGUAACUGACGCUGAGGCUCGAAAGCGUGGGGAGCAAAUAGGAUUAGAUACCCUAGUAGUCCACGCCGUAAACGAUGGAUACUAAGUGUUGGACGGAAGUUCAGUGCUGCAGUUAACGCAAUAAGUAUCCCGCCUGGGGAGUAUGCGCGCAAGCGUAAAACUCAAAGGAAUUGACGGGGCCCGCACAAGCGGUGGAGUAUGUGGUUUAAUUCGAUGCAACGCGAAGAACCUUACCUGGUCUUGACAUCCACAGAAGUUUUCCAGAGAUGGGAAUGUGCCUUAGGGAACUGU